rnacentral:rRNA from 2 species
CUGGUGUCAGCCGCCGCGGUAAUACCAGCACCUCGAGUGGUCAGGACGUUUAUUGGGCCUAAAGCAUCCGUAGCCGGCUCUGCAAGUCUUCGGUUAAAUCCACUUGCUCAACAGAUGGGCUGCUGGAGAUACUACAGAGCUAGGGAGUGGGAGAGGCAGACGGUAUUCAGUGGGUAGGGGUAAAAUCCUCUGAUCCAUUGAGGACCACCAGUGGCGAAGGCGGUCUGCCAGAACACGUUCGACGGUGAGGGAUGAAAGCUGGGGGAGCAAACCGGAUUAGAUACCCGGGUAGUCCCAGCUGUAAACGAUGCAAACUCGGUGAUGCAUUGGCUUAUGGCCAAUGCAGUGCCGCAGGGAAGCCGUUAAGUUUGCCGCCUGGGAAGUACGGACGCAAGUCUGAAACUUAAAG